UAGGAUGGUUUCUUACCACUCAUUUUGGAU
rnacentral:piRNA from 1 species